CUGAGUAGUAUUCCAUUAUGUAUAUACAUACCACAGCUUCUUUAUCCAGUCAUCUGUCAGUGGACAUUUAGGCUGCUUCCAUGUCUUGGCUGUUGUACACAGUGCUGCUGUGAACAUUGCAGUGCAGGUGUCUGUUUGAAUUAAGGUUCCAUUCAAAUACAC